UAUACUAUUUGGAUGUCAAAAUAUUUAGUUAUCUAGUGCUAUUGUGUUUGAUAUAAAGAUUUUUUUAUUUAUGAUUUGACGUUAGGGGUUUGAUUUUUGAAGGCUGAAUAUGUUUUUUUUCGAGAGAUAGGUAGCACGCUAUUCGUUUCGUUUAUUUUAUUUAGAAAUAAACUUAGCUGAAAAUGUGAAUUAACUAGGAUUUGAACUUGGAUCUCAGAUACCAACCACCAAGUCCUUUGCCACUUGCUCUAGGGACGGCUGAAUAUGUUAAUUAAGUUAAUGUACUAGACAUUUUAUCAUAUUCUUCAUUUAUGAAAGAGGAAGUUUUGCUGAAAGCAUA
rnacentral:lncRNA from 1 species